rnacentral:rRNA from 1 species
UGAGGUUAAGUUAACAAGGGCGCAUGGUGAAUGCCUUGGCACUAGGAGCCGAUGAAGGACGGGACUAACACCGAUAUGCUUCGGGGAGCUGUACGUAAGCUAUGAUCCGGAGAUUUCC